rnacentral:rRNA from 1 species
GGGGAAUAUUGCACAAUGGGCGAAAGCCUGAUGCAGCGACGCCGCGUGAGCGAUGAAGGCCUUCGGGUCGUAAAGCUCUGUCCUAAGGGAAGAAUAAUGACGGUACCUUAGGAGGAAGCCCCGGCUAACUACGUGCCAGCAGCCGCGGUAAUACGUAGGGGGCAAGCGUUAUCCGGAAUCACUGGGCGUAAAGGGUGCGUAGGCGGCUCUUCAAGUCAGGGGUGAAAGGCUACGGCUCAACCGUAGUAAGCCUUUGAAACUGUAGAGCUUGAGUGCAGGAGAGGAGAGUGGAAUUCCUAGUGUAGCGGUGAAAUGCGUAGAUAUUAGGAGGAACACCAGUGGCGAAGGCGACUCUCUGGACUGUAACUGACGCUGAGGCACGAAAGCGUGGGGAGCAAAC